CAGAAAUAAACUUGGUGGGUUGUUGCUGGCCUCGGCACUGUGCACGCCUGUCAUUUUUAUCUUUCCACCUGUGCACCCUAUGUAGGACCGUCGGUUCUAUGUAUCUUAUUUUACCACAUGAAUGUCGUCGAACGCAUAGAUAAUAAUCUAUA
rnacentral:misc_RNA from 1 species